CAGUCGCCGCGGUAAGACAGAGGAUGCAAGCGUUAUCCGGAAUGAUUGGGCGUAAAGCGUCUGUAGGUGGCUUUUCAAGUCCGCCGUCAAAUCCCAGGGCUCAACCCUGGACAGGCGGUGGAAACUACCAAGCUGGAGUACGGUAGGGGCAGAGGGAAUUUCCAGUGGAGCGGUGAAAUGCGUUGAGAUCGAAAAGAACACCAACAGCGAAAGCACUCUGCUGGGAUGACACUGACACUAAGAGACGAAAGCUAGGGGAGCAAAUGGGAUUAGAUACCCCUGUAGUCCCUGUCUCUUAUAC
rnacentral:rRNA from 1 species